UGUUUUGUUUUUAAUUGAUUGAGCAAAUGAUUCUGAUUCAUUCAUUUUGUGAAUUUGAUCACCCAAUCAUACAAUUCCUUGACAAAUUGACUACUUCUCUCAUGCACAGCAAAGACAGGUAGGUGUGAAUAAUGGCUUAAAUUGCGAUGACAAUGUAAUUGUGUGGAGCGUGCGCUACCUUUCAUAGUGCUUUUGUGUCCUUUGUGAAGCCUGAAAGCCUCAUUCUCUAAUCAUUUUAACUGUAUGGAAAAGAGCAAGCAUAAUUCUGCUUUGUGUUUUACAGAAUAAAUCAGUGAUAUAUGUUUGGAACAACAUAAAGGCAUGCACAGAGGAAACUCUGAGAGCUUUAAAGAUACGUGUGGUCAGGCUUGUCAGGCCUCAUUUCGACACUGUUGGAAAAUCUGAGGCUGAUUCCUGUGGUACACCACAAUGAGUUGUAAACUUUCAGAGAUGGAUGAUAACCAGAAUCCUUGAGGGACAACAAGAGGCUGUCUAUCGAGAGCUUCUGAAGCACAACACCCUGGCAUUCAGCAGACAGCGCUGAACACCACAUCCUGCUGCAAGCGCUUCACAAUCUGAGGCAAUAAGGGCAGAUGGAGCG